GGGGGAUUAGCUCAGUUGGGAGAGCGCCUGCCUUGCAAGCAGGAGGUCACGAGUUCGAAUCUCGUAUUCUCCAUCA
rnacentral:tRNA from 1 species